rnacentral:lncRNA from 1 species
CCUGCGACACUCAGCUUGGUGCCUUUGGUAGAUCGGACAUCAAACUGAAGAACAACUGAGUAUCAAAAAAAGAAAAAAAAAAAGAACAGCUAACAAACAACUGCAACAGACGUCAGGUAUUUCAAAGCUUCCAAACGCAAACAAGAGGCAUCAGCUCGAGACAUCAGUGCACUUCAUUUCCACUAGCAAAAGAUGUUAAUAUACUAAUACCUCCACAUCCCUCCCGGACGUGGAGCGCAUGAUGCUCACAGGCAAGCACAUGUAAUCAGUGCGCUCUAGUUACAAAAGCUGAACUGCAGCCUUCAGGAGGGGUGGCAGAUCAGAGAUGGAGCGCCUAAUACGGCUUGAGGUAGUCGAAGAGAUGGUCCCGGAAGGACGCCGCGUCCGCCGUCGGCGAACCGACGGGGGACUUGUUGUACCCGGCGGCUGGCUGGUGCUGGUCCUUCUGGCUCUGCUGAUCACUACUCGCCGGCAGCUUGAGCUUCCCCUUGUCGGUCUCGAUCUGCAGCGCCCUCGUCUGCCGCCGGCGCCGCUGCUGGUGCUGGUGCUGCUGCCGCCUCUGCUCCCGGCGCUUGUUCACGUACUCCUCGUGGAUGAACGUCUCGAUCAUCUUCACUCGCAGCCUGGCUAAGCUGCUCUGCUUCCUACCAGCAGGCUAACACUUGCACCCAACUACACUAUACUUCACUAAGCUACCUAGCUACUUCUUGUACUACAAGCUCCCAAGAUCUGGAGGACGAUGUUAACACUUAACAGAGAGGAACACUACUACUGAUGAACUGAAGAACACUGAUAGGAAGGAAGGAAGAGUGGUGCUCGUAUUUGUGCCGAGCUAGAGCUUAGCGCCCGCAUCUUUAUAGGCCACCAAGUCAGGUCAAUUAUUCGUGCGCCCAGACACUUGUCCAGCUUACACAGGGC